ACAAAUCAAGUCUGUCCGGCACUCUGUGGUGACAAUUACGGGAAGAAGUUAGAUUGAUACAGACUGCAACAUGUCCUCCAGAGAAUAAACACUAAGGCUUGUGUACUAGACAUGACUGGAAAAUCUGAGAACACCUAACCUUGAACAUUUGGAAAGGAGCUAGAAUAGAAGGAGCACCGGACUGUUCAACCAAUGCCUACGCAACUCUUCUUGGUUUCCCUGUUUACGGCCAUUCUUCUUCCAGCACGCCUCUCUCACGGUCCACAUGAACUAAGAGCGAUAAGGAUCAGUGACUGACGUGUCCACCCUGGGCAGAGUGUCUUGAUUGCUCAUUUGCACUGCCGGCUCAUUACACCGCAUCAGGCUGUUCAUACUGGACUAUCCUAGAUGGCUACAGCAUCAAGACACACACAUUCUGGCCAAAGGAUUAAGCUCCAAAACAACAUUAGAAGGAGCAAAUCAAAUAUAAUAUGGACCUAAACAUACCAUUCCUUAUGCAUUAUGAACUGAUCUUCCGUCAGUAAACCCGGCAGCAGCCCAGAUGUUGGAACUCCAGGAGUCACACAGUAUCGUUGGGUUGAGGAGAUGGCUUAGUAGUAAGAAUUUGCCUGGUGGCCUAAUUGAGAUCUCUGAAGCCCAGAAUUUAUGUAAAACGCUGGAUGCAUCUUGGAAUUCCUAUAAGGACUUAGAAGGAGAAUCAGCUGAAAGCUUUGGGGCAACUGGUCUGAAACACACUUUGGAAACAGAGGAGAGCAGCUUCAACAGUGACAAUGGAAGAAUCUUCCAGAUGGACUGAUUUCUCCCUGCAGCUCUUCAUUGUGUUCUGGGACCAGCACGGUGGAUUCUUGCUGGCAAGGGGAAGAGGAUGAAGAGUUUGUGAACCGUUUAAGACUUCAAGUUCAGCCAUAGCAAUCAAUUAACAGACCAGUCAAUCAGAGCAUGAUGGGGGGUGGGGUGUUUACCUCCACAGUCAGCUGAUCUUAAAAGUCCUUCAGCACUUUUGAGACAGUGGUUCACAAUGCAGUCUGCUUAGGUGUUGAUAAAUAGACAUAAUGGUCCAUAGUGGCUGGAACCUAGUAGGUCUGCAGUGUGCAGGUGAAUUCGCAGCUCUUCAUUUUCAUAAGCCCUUCAUGCCUUUCUUCGACCACUUUCUGUUAACAGUUACUCUUUGUAUGAAUACACACACACACACACACAAACACACACACACACACACACACACACACACACACACACACACGGUUGGAUUCCCCUCCUAAAAUGAUUUUCUCAUCCUGUAUCACCAAACUAGAAACUCAAUGUGUAAGAGACCACCCUUUCCCUUUUCCAACCUAUAAGACUCCUUUUCUCUUCCUUUCAGUUUGGUUCUUAGUACCUGUUCAAAGCUAGUAAGUACCAUUCGCUAAUUAGUGAGUGGCAAC